ACGCCGCCCAUCAUCUCCAACGAUUUCAUUUCUUUGGCCAGCUCGACGCCAACGAAUCUCUCAGCUCCGUUCCUGUUUCGGUUGUUCCCGUAUCCAGCUGCCAGCGAAGCCCGCUCGUGGAUCAGCAGUAACGCAUGAAGCCCAACUUCAUUUCUUCAGCCCGUAUCAGCCCAGCGAUUCGAGUCCAUUUAAUUGGGUCUUCAGCCCAAUUCAUCAAGGACCAAUUCCAGCAAGUCAAUUGAAGCCCAAGUCCACCGAAGUUUAGCCCGCGAAUCAAGUGAAGCCC
rnacentral:lncRNA from 1 species